AUGAGGAUACUUCUCAUCUCUUGCAUUCUACUCCCCCUUGGGUUUCUUUCUCUUGCACCACCUCUACCCGCAGCUAGCUCGAGAAGCGCACGAACGUCUGGGUACAUUGUUAUCAGUGGUUGCAACAAUUACUGCAGCGUGGCCUGCUGCUACUGCAACAUCCACAGGUUUCCACCUGUUUGUGAAAAGUGCUGCGAGUAA
rnacentral:rRNA from 1 species